rnacentral:rRNA from 1 species
CCUACGGGAGGCAGCAGUGGGGAAUAUUGGGCAAUGGGCGCAAGCCUGACCCAGCAACGCCGCGUGAAGGAAGAAGGCUUUCGGGUUGUAAACUUCUUUUCUCAGGGACGAAGCAAGUGACGGUACCUGAGGAAUAAGCCACGGCUAACUACGUGCCAGCAGCCGCGGUAAUACGUAGGUGGCAAGCGUUAUCCGGAUUUACUGGGUGUAAAGGGCGCGUAGGCGGGAAAGCAAGUCAGAUGUGAAAACCAUGGGCUCAACCUGUGGACUGCAUUUGAUACUGUUUUUCUUGAGUACAGGAGAGGCAGACGGAAUUCCUAGUGUAGCGGUGAAAUGCGUAGAUAUUAGGAGGAACACCAGUGGCGAAGGCGGUCUGCUGGACAGCAACUGACGCUGAGGCGCGAAAGCGUGGGGAGCAAACAGGAUUAGAUACCCCAGUAGUC